rnacentral:rRNA from 1 species
GACGAACGCUGGCGGCGUGCUUAACACAUGCAAGUCGAACGGAAAGGCCCUGCUUUUGUGGGGUGCUCGAGUGGCGAACGGGUGAGUAACACGUGAGUAACCUGCCCUUGACUUUGGGAUAACUUCAGGAAACUGGGGCUAAUACCCGAUAGGAGCUCCUGCUGCAUGGUGGGGGUUGGAAAGUUUCGGCGGUUGGGGCUGGACUCGCGGCUUAUCAGCUUGUUGGUGGGGUAGUGGCUUACCAAGGCUUUGACGGGUAGCCGGCCUGGGAGGGUGACCGGCCACAUUAGGACUGAGAUACGGCCCAGACUCCUACGGGAGGCAGCAGUGGGGAAUAUUGCGCAAUGGGCGGAAGCCUGAUGCGGCAACGCCGCGUGCGGGAUGACGGCCUUCGGGUUGUAAACCGCUUUCGCCUGUGACGAAGCGUGAGUGACGGUAAUGGGUAAAGAAGCACCGGCUAACUACGUG